GAUGAACGCUGGCGGCGUGCCUAAUACAUGCAAGUCGAGCGAACAGACGAGGAGCUUGCUCCUCUGACGUUAGCGGCGGACGGGUGAGUAAAACGUGGAUAACCUACCUAUAAGACUGGGAUAACUUCGGGAAACCGGAGCUAAUACCGGAUAAUAUAUUGAACCGCAUGGUUCAAUAGUGAAAGAGGGUUUUGCUGUCACUUAUAGAUGGAUCCGCGCCGCAUUAGCUAGUUGGUAAGGUAACGGCUUACCAAGGCAACGAUGCGUAGCCGACCUGAGAGGGUGAUCGGCCACACUGGAACUGAGACACGGUCCAGACUCCUACGGGAGGCAGCAGUAGGGAAUCUUCCGCAAUGGGCGAAAGCCUGACGGAGCAACGCCGCGUGAGUGAUGAAGGUCUUCGGAUCGUAAAACUCUGUUAUUAGGGAAGAACAAAUGUGUAAGUAACUAUGCACGUCUUGACGGUACCUAAUCAGAAAGCCACGGCUAACUACGUG
rnacentral:rRNA from 1 species